rnacentral:rRNA from 1 species
UUCGCCCUUAGAGUUUGAUCCUGGCUCAGGACGAACGCUGGCGGCGCGCCUAACACAUGCAAGUCGAACGAGCGAGAGAGAGCUUGCUUUCUCGAGCGAGUGGCGAACGGGUGAGUAACGCGUGAGGAACCUGCCUCAAAGAGGGGGACAACAGUUGGAAACGACUGCUAAUACCGCAUAAGCCCACGGCUCGGCAUCGAGCAGAGGGAAAAGGAGCAAUCCGCUUUGAGAUGGCCUCGCGUCCGAUUAGCUAGUUGGUGAGGUAACGGCCCACCAAGGCGACGAUCGGUAGCCGGACUGAGAGGUUGAACGGCCACAUUGGGACUGAGACACGGCCCAGACUCCUACGGGAGGCAGCAGUGGGGAAUAUUGCACAAUGGGGGAAACCCUGAUGCAGCGACGCCGCGUGGAGGAAGAAGGUCUUCGGAUUGUAAACUCCUGUUGUUGGGGAAGAUAAUGACGGUACCCAACAAGGAAGUGACGGCUAACUACGUGCCAGCAGCCGCGGUAAAACGUAGGUCACAAGCGUUGUCCGGAAUUACUGGGUGUAAAGGGAGCGCAGGCGGGAAGACAAGUUGGAAGUGAAAUCUAUGGGCUCAACCCAUAAACUGCUUUCAAAACUGUUUUUCUUGAGUAGUGCAGAGGUAGGCGGAAUUCCCGGUGUAGCGGUGGAGUGCGUAGAUAUCGGGAGGAACACCAGUGGCGAAGGCGGCCUACUGGGCACCAACUGACGCUGAGGCUCGAAAGUGCGGGUAGCAAACAGGAUUAGAAUACCCUGGUAGUCCACACCGUAAACGAUGAUUACUAGGUGUUGGAGGAUUGACCCCUUCAGUGCCGCAGUUAACACAAUAAGUAAUCCACCUGGGGAGUACGACCGCAAGGUUGAAACUCAAAGGAAUUGACGGGGGCCCGCACAAGCAGUGGAGUAUGUGGUUUAAUUCGACGCAACGCGAAGAACCCUACCAAGUCUUGACAUCCCUUGACAGACAUAGAAAUAUGUAAUCUCUUCGGAGCAAGGAGACAGGUGGUGCAUGGUUGUCGUCAGCUCGUGUCGUGAGAUGUUGGGUUAAGUCCCGCAACGAGCGCAACCCUUAUGGUCAGUUACUACGCAAGAGGACUCUGGCCAGACUGCCGUUGACAAAACGGAGGAAGGUGGGGAUGACGUCAAAUCAUCAUGCCCUUUAUGACUUGGGCUACACACGUACUACAAUGGCGUUAAACAAAGAGAAGCAAGACCGCGAGGUGGAGCAAAACUCAGAAACAACGUCCCAGUUCGGACUGCAGGCUGCAACUCGCCUGCACGAAGUCGGAAUUGCUAGUAAUCGUGGAUCAGCAUGCCACGGUGAAUACGUUCCCGGGCCUUGUACUCACCGCCCGUCA